UACGUAGGGUGCGAGCGUUGUCCGGAAUUAUUGGGCGUAAAGAGCUUGUAGGCGGUCUGUCGCGUCUGCUGUGAAAAUCCGGGGCUCAACCCCGGACUUGCAGUGGGUACGGGCAGACUAGAGUUCGGUAGGGGAGACUGGAAUUCCUGGUGUAGCGGUGAAAUGCGCAGAUAUCAGGAGGAACACCGGUGGCGAAGGCGGGUCUCUGGGCCGAAACUGACGCUGAGGAGCGAAAGCGUGGGGAGCGAACAGG
rnacentral:rRNA from 1 species